rnacentral:rRNA from 1 species
UACGAAGGGUGCUAGCGUUGCUCGGAAUCACUGGGCGUAAAGCGCACGUAGGCGGUUUGCUAAGUCAGGGGUGAAAUCCUGGAGCUCAACUCCAGAACUGCCUUUGAUACUGGCGAUCUCGAGUCCGGGAGAGGUGAGUGGAACUGCGAGUGUAGAGGUGAAAUUCGUAGAUAUUCGCAAGAACACCAGUGGCGAAGGCGGCUCACUGGCCCGGUACUGACGCUGAGGUGCGAAAGCGUGGGGAGCAAACAGG